GUUGUAUCAAGAGGCAGUGAGAGAUUUGGCUCUGUGACCUGCCGGCAACACUUGGAUACGCGAGAGCGAAUUCAGCAGUGUGCCAACUCCAACCCGCUCGGGAAAGAUACCUA
rnacentral:ncRNA from 2 species